UGGGGAAUAUUGGACAAUGGGCGAAAGCCUGAUCCAGCCAUGCCGCGUGUGUGAAGAAGGUCUUCGGAUUGUAAAGCACUUUAAGUUGGGAGGAAGGGCAGUAAGCGAAUACCUUGCUGUUUUGACGUUACCGACAGAAUAAGCACCGGCUAACUCUGUGCCAGCAGCCGCGGUAAUACAGAGGGUGCAAGCGUUAAUCGGAAUUACUGGGCGUAAAGCGCGCGUAGGUGGUUCGUUAAGUUGAAUGUGAAAGCCCCGGGCUCAACCUGGGAACUGCAUCCAGAACUGGCGAUCUAGAGUAGGGCAGAGGGUGGUGGAAUUUCCUGUGUAGCGGUGAAAUGCGUAGAUAUAGGAAGGAACACCAGUGGCGAAGGCGACCACCUGGGCUCAUACUGACACUGAGGUGCGAAAGCGUGGGGAGCAAACAGG
rnacentral:rRNA from 1 species